rnacentral:rRNA from 1 species
UUUAAAAAUAAUUUAUUUAUUUAUUGUUUUAGUAUUAAGUAAAAAUUAAUUUUAAGAUUUAUAGUUAAUUAGUAUUGUAAAAGAAUUUAUUUAAAUUAUAAAAAGAAUUUUUAAUAGUACCUUUUGUAUCAGGGUUGAUUAAAAAUUUUUAAUUAUUUUAAAUUUCUCAAAAUUUAUGGAGUUAAUUUUAUUAUAAAUUUAUUGUGGUAUAAAUAUUUAUUAAAUAAUAUUAGUUUUGAAAUUUAAUUCGUUAUAAAAUAUUUAGUUAUUUAAGAUUUAAAUUUAAUUUAAAAAUUUAAAAGUUUAAUUAUUUUAGAUAAAUAAUAUAAUUUUAAAUUUAAAUUAUUUUAGGGAUAAGCUUGAAAUUUAUAUAUAAUUUUUUUUUUUUUAAUAAUAUAUAGGAAUAGAAAUUUUUAUUUUAAGUUUGUAAAAAUUUAUUAUUUUUAAAUAUUUUAUUUAUUAUAAAUUAAAAUUUAUUUUUAAUAUUAAAUUAUAUUAAUUAAUAAAUAAUUAAUAGUAAUAAUGAUUAAAUUAGUAUAAUAUGUAAUUAUAAAUUAUGAAUUCGGCAAAUAAUAUUUUCAUCUGUUUAACAAAAACAUUGUAUUAAGUUUUAUUUAAUAUAGGAUCUGCUCAAUGAUUUUAUUAAAUAGCUGCAGUAUUUUGACUGUGCAAAG